CAGUCUGGAUCAUGGAGAACACACGAGGAUUACAGCAGGACCACGCAAAUAUGCCUGUUUCCUCACUCUGGAUCCAAACACAACAUACGCUUUUCUCAUUCUGUCUGAGGAGAACAGAGAGGUGAAGCGUGUGAGAGAGUAUCAGCGGUAUCCUGAUCAUCCAGACAGAUUUGAUGGUAUUUAUUCUCAGGUGUUGUGCAGAGAGAGUGUGUGUGGACGCUGUUAUUGGGAGAUUGACUGGAGUGGAGAUGAUGUGUGGAUAUCAGUGUCAUAUAAGAGCAUCAGGAGGAAGGGAGUAGAUCCUGAGUAUUUGUUCGGAUGUAAUGCUCAGUCCUGGAGUUUGCGCUGCUCUUCCUCCAGUUAUAUAUUUUGGCAAAAUGACACACGCACUGAUCUCCCAGUGAAACCGCUCAGCAGGAGAAUAGGAGUGUUUGUGGAUCACAGUGCAGGAACUCUGAUCUUCUACAACAUCUAUAGAGACACAAUGAGCCUCAUCCACUCAGUCCAGACCACAUUCACUGAGCCGCUCUAUCCUGGGUUUACUAUUUGGUGUCAAUCAUCAGUCAAACUGUGCUGAAGACUGAGAAGGAGCAGUCAGUAGCAGUGUGUGUGUGUGUGUGUGUGAGAGAGAGAGAGAGUGUUUGUUUGUGUAUGUGUGAAAGAGCAUGUGUGUGCGAGUGUGUGUGUGUGUUUGAGUGUGUGCAUGAGUGUAUGUUUGUCUGUGUGGGAUUUUUUUUUCUACAAAAAUACUUUCUUACAUCAUUUUUUUUUGACACAUUGUAACUCCACAUCAGAUGUAACAGCAGCUCUCCUACCUCCACACUGCAGACAGCGUCCUUAUAACAGCACUGUUGUUCAAAGGUUUCAGCAUCAUUUAUGGCCUUGUAAUACUUUAAAUAUAUUUUAAUUCUGGACCUGACGAACGCUUUAAAACUCCCAAUCUCUUGACCAUGUACAUCAGGGGUGUCAAACUCAAUUCCUGGAGGGCCGAAGCCCUGUACAGUUUAGUUCCAACCCUGCUCCAACACACUUACCUGUAGAUUUCAAACAAGCCUGAAGGACUAAAUUAGUUUGAUCAGGUGUGUUUAAUUAGGGUUGGAACUAAACUGUGCAGAGCUGCGGCCCUUUUGCAACUGAGUUUGACACCUGUGAUGUACAUCAUCUAUUUAGUUUCUUCUUGUGAUAAGUAGAGCAAGUUUUGCUUGAGCAACUAAACAGUGAAUGAACUGCUAUUUCAGUUUGUGUUUCUGACUAUAGCCAGCUCCAGAAGAAACUUACAUUGAGUCAAAUUCUCUCCACAUUUCAGGAAAACUCUGCUCAACAUAUCAAACUAUUGUGUUAAACGUGUACAUUUCAAAGAGCAAUUAUACACAGUCUCUCUAUGUCCACAGAAGAGACACUCGUCAUGGACACUAGAGUGAACAACACAUAUGAAAUCAUUCACUGCCACAAUCCCCUGCAGAAUCCUCCAUUGUAAAUCCCCAACACAUUUUGUCAAAGUUGGUUUAUACAAAACUCUCCACACUGGUUUUCCCCCUAAAGUAUCAUGAAAUGUCCGUUAUUUCUGUUAAUCUGCCUUUGUCACCUCUCUGAUCCGUAAUAAUAAUAAUAAUAAUCAUAAUAUUAGACAUUUGUUUGGACAUGAUGUGCUCUCUUCAACAAGCAGCUUUUCUCUUCAUUCUGCAGGCUGUUCGCUCUGGCAGUUGGUCAGAUAUUUGUAAGCAAGCCUAUAAUAAAAAGCAGAGUUAUUCUGCAGUCAGGUGAUGUGCUCCAUCAGGCACAACAAUCUUGAUAGUAUCUUGUAGUGUGCUGUGCCGCAGUUUUCAUAUCUUGUAGUAACAUAUUUUUAAAAGUGUACUGAUUAUAUUUUUACAUAUAGCCUACAUAAAUAGGCACAAUUUAAACUUUCAAAACAUCAUGUUUUUCCCUCCUCUGGCAUUAAAGCCUUUAUAUUAUUUUCUCUUUUAUUCUUAAUUGGGCAGCCAUUAUUCUCAACCCUGUAAUAGACUAAACUGAGUUGGUAAUAAUGGUAUUCUACAAAGCUUUUGCUAUAAAACCAACAUUUCCCUGUUGCUCACAUGUCCCUCAAAUCAGUUUAAUGGCUAAAAUAUCACAUUUUUAAUGAGUUUUAGAUUAAUAUGUGAUUUAAGUUACAAUUAUACAUACUUGUGCAUUCUGUGGUCUCUUAAUUUUUAAAAAGUUUUACAUUUAGAUGUCUUACCCCACCCACAUAAUUAAAAUGUUAGGCUGCACAUGCUGGUUGGUUCUCAGCAAUAUUUUUUUCUAUAUUUAAUUGUUUUCCUUUAAAAAUAUGAAUCUCACAGGGUGGAGAAUACAGUGACCGGUUUAAGACCAUAACAGGGUUAAGAGGACACUUAAAUUUCAGUUUUAAUUUGUUUUAGUUCAUUUGAAAUUACAUCUAACACUUACUUAAAAUGUAUUUUAGUAAAACAUUUAGCAAAGGCAUUAAUGAGAUAAAGGCAAACCGGAAUGAAAUGAAACUUCAUUAAACCAAACCACAGUCAGAAUUCAAAAAAUUGAAGUGCUGCAGGUAACUGGACUGUUAGUAACCUUUAAAAAUGCUGAUAAAGGCCUGUGUUACCCAAUCUAUUGCUGAACAGAACCUACAGUAAACAGAAGCAACAGGUAAAGUCUUGUCUAAAACUUUAUUUCCUAGAACAUCAAUAAAAACUGCAGCAGAAAAGUUCUUAAUGAAAUUGUUAAUGAAAAUACUCAAUAAUGUUAAUAAAAAAAUAAAAUUAUAUAGCCAGA